GUGGGGAAUAUUGGACAAUGGGCGAAAGCCUGAUCCAGCCAUGCCGCGUGUGUGAAGAAGGUCUUCGGAUUGUAAAGCACUUUAAGUUGGGAGGAAGGGCAGUAAGUUAAUACCUUGCUGUUUUGACGUUACCGACAGAAUAAGCACCGGCUAACUUCGUGCCAGCAGCCGCGGUAAUACGAAGGGUGCAAGCGUUAAUCGGAAUUACUGGGCGUAACGCGCGCGUAGGUGGUUUUGUAAGUUGGAGGUGAAAUCCCCGGGCUCAACCUGGGAACUGCCUCCAAAACUGCAUGACUAGAGUACGGUAGAGGGUAGUGGAAUUUCCUGUGUAGCGGUGAAAUGCGUAGAUAUAGGAAGGAACACCAGUGGCGAAGGCGACUACCUGGACUGAUACUGACACUGAGGUGCGAAAGCGUGGGGAGCAAACAGGAUUAGAAACCCCAGUAGUCC
rnacentral:rRNA from 1 species